UACGUAGGUGGCAAGCGUUGUCCGGAAUUAUUGGGCGUAAAGCGCGCGCAGGCGGUCCUUUAAGUCUGAUGUGAAAGCCCUCGGCUCAACCGAGGAGGGUCAUUGGAAACUGGAGGACUUGAGUGCAGAAGAGGAAAGUGGAAUUCCAAGUGUAGCGGUGAAAUGCGUAGAGAUUUGGAGGAACACCAGUGGCGAAGGCGACUCUCUGGUCUGUAACUGACGCUGAGGCGCGAAAGCGUGGGGAGCAAACAGG
rnacentral:rRNA from 1 species